rnacentral:lncRNA from 1 species
CUCAGUUUUUCCUCUAUUCUUCGCAUAAAUAAAUGGAUUAAAGCAAAUAGGUGGCUCAGAGGUAUUCUGUUUUAGUCGUAGAGUCGAAGUUACUUCACUGCUUUGUAGGAUGAAGACAGUAAAUGAUUUUCAUGGAUCCUUUUGCAUGUGUUGAAACUCUUUUCCUUGCCCCUCAAUUACCGACUUUUAAUCCCAUGCAGUCCAUGCAUCCCGUUUUUUUGCCUUUCCCGUGCUCACCUCCCUCCUAGGAUGCAAUAAUGUGACCGAUGAGGGGCUUGGGUCCCCAACCCAGGUGUGAGAGAGGACCAGACCAUCACACCAGCAGUUUGGAGGUGCCACCAAGCAAUUUGGGGCUGCUGCUGUGCCACGGUGGGACACUACAGCCACCAAGACCACCUCGGUUUCCCCUCCAUACAGCCUGGCUCCAGCUCUUCCAUCGGCUGGACUGAAAACAGCAGCGAUUCAGGAACACUCGGCACAAGCAGGAGCAACACUUUGGGGGGCUGAGGCUACACAAAACGCUUUCCCUUCCCUCCAAAAGACAGCAGAAGGAGGCCUCGCUCAACCUUCCUCUGUCUGCAGCCUCACCAAGGCUGCUCAGGCACCUCCCCCCUGGAGGAAUGCAAACCUGUGCCCAAGGAGAGCAGUAACCCACCGGGAUGGGUUAUUCGAGGAUAACGGCACACCGUGCGCUUUGCCCUGGUUUCUGAGGGUGUCUGGUUGUCCUGUGGGGUUCCUGUGCAUCCACAACUGCACCGCCUGUGGCUGAGAGCUGUGCUUGUUCCAGCUGUUUUCCUUUCCCAUUCCAGCAGAGAAACAGGGUUGUGCUCCUUGAGCACAUUGCAGAUGACGGAGGUUGGAUGAAGCCAGGUCUGGCUGAUGACGUUCCCAUCUUGUUACCCUGACACCGAGCAGCCCAGCAGACGGAUCUGGACGGGAAGGAAGGCCGGCGUCGGAAGUCCAGUGCUGGAAACCCGACAAGUAAUGAGAGCUGGAAGGGAGUCCAGUUCCUCCGGUGAUCCCAAGCAUUGCAGCAGCCAAGUUUAAGUCUUUCUGAGGAGUGUGCCUAAACUAACCCUAUGUGUUCCUCCACGGCAGCCCCUCCUACACAUACUAGGAUGCAUCAGGGCACUCCAGCCCUGGUCCAGAUGUCCCCGUCUCACAAAGGAGGCACCUCUCACUUGACUGUGUCAUGCCUUGCAAAAAUCAUAGCUAAUGGGGGCUGGCAACCUCUUUUCUAGCCCCUCCUGAGCAAUCCACCCCUUCUUCAGCAUUGAGGGAGCCUUGCCUUUAAAGCCAGCAGCCAGCAAUCAUUUCUCACUGACGCUGGCGGGGUAAUGAAGAUGUUUAGAAUGCCUGAAGAUCUCCAUAAUCUGGAGGUUGCAUUAUGGCUUAUUUUCAAAACUAUGAAAGCAUUGUUUCCCUUUUCCUAGUCUGAAGCUCUCCAGGUUUUUACGCACAUCACAGUGUUUAAAAAUAAAAUGAGUGCGUCGCUGUUUGCCAGCAAGCGCUUUAUGGAGUCAGUCUUUCAAAGCAGGAGCCUACUUGUGCGUACAUGAAAGAAGUAUGUGUGCGAAAUCUGCAUGUGCACCUACCUGAGUCACAUGUCAGCGAGGCGAACUGAGAAAAUGUUCCCACAGCUGGGGAGUGAUGGGGCAGGCUGUAAACGAGCACGUUUCCAUUUGGCAUGUACAGCCCUGGCACAAGGGAGCACAGACGCGGGUGCCAGGAAGCAUUCAGGUUUUGUGUGCACACAGAUCUGGGGCUAGCUCUUGCUCCUGUGAAAAUAACUUUAAAAGGGGCAGUAUCAAGCCCAGAAACAUAAAAAUGUUUGCCUUGGCUUUGAGCAAUUUUGUGAAAGAACUAAAACCAACAAACUAAAAAUAAAGGUUCGUAACUACAGUGUUGACACUGUAGCAAAGCAGAGGUUUUCCUUUCUUCAUGUCCUGCACUUGCUCUGCAGAUCUCCAUCCAUGCAUUAGCUUAUUAACACUUUUUGCUCCAAGUUUCUUUCAUUCCGUCACUUUGCAGUUUCUUAAUUUAGUUGUUACAUCUUGCAUACCAAUCUCCCCCUACUCCUAAAGCUGAGCCCGAGAUGUUUUAAAUGCCAGGAUCAGAGGUUUGCAUUGCAGUUAGUUCAUGAACGUGUAAUA